rnacentral:lncRNA from 1 species
AAUCCAUUACUAAUAUCAUAAUCCUUCUGUGGAGACAUUAUAGAUUUGCAAGCACCAUAUGGUGACCCCACUCCAUCUUUGCUCCAACAUUGAGUUUUAGGAAUGUCAUUUAGUACUUGAGUAUGCCUUCUUAGAGAUGGCCCAGGUGUUCAGUGAUGAAGCUAACUCAGUAAACUUUCAUCACCCUCUAUGAAUUUUGAACAAGCAGCUUUCUUUUCCUCUUUGGAGUUAUCCUUUUUGUCUGCAACCUUUUCUGAGUUAAGUGAGCAAUUCAAAAGGUUUUCAUAUAAACCAGUACUGGUGUUGGCAAUAGUCAUACCUUCACAAAUACCAACACUGUAAAACCACCAAUUUCUGCUGUAAAUUGUAUAGUGAUGCCAAAAUGCACCUUGUUCUGUCUGCCAGAAUUUUAUGAUAUAUAGGCUUGGUCUGGUUUUGAAGAGGACCUCUACUUGCUGAUGUUUUGGUCAAGGGUUUGUGGUUGCUAUCAUGGAAAGGGACAAGUAAAUUCAUUGAUGCAAGUAGGGUACAUGGUCCUCAAACUAUUAAGACAGGAUUGAAGUUUUAGUCUAGGAAGUUGGCAUGUUUACUUGCUCCGUGGUUGGUGUUUGCAAUUUGCUAUUGUCUGCCCAAACAUCAUUAAUUUUAACCAUGGGUUGCACCUACGUCCUCCAACCCACACUCAACAGAAAGCCUGAGAGAGAGGGAGAGAGAGAAAGAGAUUACUGAAGCAGUAGUUUCAGAAUGCAAGAGUGCAGUAGAAGAAAAUAUGAAUUCAAUGUUAUCCAAGUCAUUAGCAAAUAGCAAUCGACUCUAUAAUGUGCUUUUAGCUGUAACAAAUUGUCCAUAACCAACUUCAGAAUCCCUCUUGGUCUGUUUGAAGAAUGAGAAGAUGGAAGACUAUGCUUUCAUGGUGUUACCAAGUCAUUUGUACUACGUUUCCAAUUUAGAGUUUUUUAUUAAAAAUUGUCACCAGAAAUCAACAUCCCUCUUUGUUAAUAUGCGCUGAGCCAUGCUUUACUGUGAUGUUUUCUUAGGGUUGCUUUGCAGCUUUUCCCUUUUAAUUCUUCAUUUUUGUUCGAAAUAGUCCGUGCAAGAGAAUAUUGCUCAUAUUUGAUCUUGAUGUGAUUGAUGGGAAUAUGAUCCUACAAUCCACUUCCAUUUUCUGGUUGUAAGAGUGAUGAACUUUUCAGGCGCUCUACGAUUUCCAUUAGAAGAUUUUUAUCUUGUGUCCUGAGCUAGAAAUGUCGGCAACCUGUUUUAGGCAGAGCACUAUUUAUUGACAAGUAGCAAAUAUUAUAAUUUGAUCCAGUUUACCAAUCAGAGGAAUGCUUUCAAGUUAUACUUCACUGGGAUUAUCCUGCUUUGUGCAUUGCAAAACAAACAAGGUAGUGUGGGUAUUAUUAGACUCUGGACAUGGGCUGGAGCCUGGACCAGUUAAAUCCUUCUUUACUGUCUUUUAAGGCAUGUUCGCAUGGUUUCAGCCUAAGAUUCAUUUUGAAGUUGUCAUUUAUCUAAUCAAUGGGCGUAUAGGAACUUUAAUCGAUGACUUGAUUUUAUGCCGGGAAUAAGUAAAACAAUAGCAAUCCCAAGGCAGGAUAACAGGUGAAUGGCAAGGGUAUAUAGGAGCCACCUAAACAGCCUCUUGGCCCUUAAAUCUGAUGGUGAAUUAUAAAUGAAAGUCGGAUACCCUCUUCUUUUAAUGCUACAUGGAUUUGCCUAAGAACUCAAAUAUAAAUGAAAAAGGCAAUACGUGUGGAAUAACCACAUUAGCAGCCGAAUAAAAGGAUUAAGGGAGGAUCCAUUGGGACGUGGAUUGGGCUUAUGAAUACAAUAGAGGUUAGCCCAAUCCAUUCGGCCCUACAAAGAAUAGGACAUUGUACCUUAUUUUCAGAUGGACCUGUCCCCUGAUUUGCUGAUAUAAUUCUUGGAGGUUGGAAUGGUGCGAUGCCGUGUUCAUCUAAAAUUGCUUUUAU